AUAUCAAUAAGCGGAGGAAAAGAAACCAACAGGGAUUGCCCUAGUAACGGCGAGUGAAGCGGCAACAGCUCAAAUUUGAAAUCUGGCCCUAGGCCCGAGUUGUAAUUUGCAGAGGAUGCUUUUGGUGAGGUGCUUACCGAGUCCCCUGGAAUGGGGCGCCACAGAGGGUGAGAGCCCCGUAUGGUUUGCCACCGAGCCUUUGUAAAGCUCCUUCGACGAGUCGAGUAGUUUGGGAAUGCUGCUCUAAAUGGGAGGUAAAUUUCUUCUAAAGCUAAAUACCGGCCAGAGACCGAUAGCGCACAAGUAGAGUGAUCGAAAGAUGAAAAGCACUUUGAAAAGAGGGUUAAAUAGCACGUGAAAUUGUUGAAAGGGAAGCGCUCGUGACCAGACUUGCGCCUGGCGGAUCAUCCGGCGUUCUCGCCGGUGCACUCCGCCAGGCUCAGGCCAGCAUCGGUUUUCGCCGGGGGACAAAAGCUUCAGGAACGUGGCUCCUCUCGGGGAGUGUUAUAGCCUGUUGCAGAAUACCCCGGUGGGGACCGAGGACCGCGCUUCGGCAAGGAUGCUGGCGUAAUGGUCAUCAGCGACCCGUCUUGAAACACGGACCGAGGAGUCAAGCAUUAGUGCGAGUGUUUGGGUGUAAAACCCGCACGCGUAAUGAAAGUAAACGUAGGUGAGAGCUUCGGCGCAUCAUCGACCGAUCCUGAUGUUUUCGGAUGGAUUUGAGUAGGAGCAUUAACGCUUGGACCCGAAAGAUGGUGAACUAUACUUGAAUAGGGUGAAGCCAGAGGAAACUCUGGUGGAGGCUCGCAGCGGUUCUGACGUGCAAAUCGAUCGUCAAAUUUGAGUAUAGGGGCGAAAGACUAAUCGAACCAUUGAAUGGUAACAGUACUAGGUGGUUGAGAGGCGGCCCACAAGGGCGCGCCUAGUCCGACGCCCAGUUGGGGGCUAGGGCGACAUCGCCAAAUUGACGGGGACACCCUGAAGGGCCAGGCUACCGCAGCGGGGUCGAAAGACGCCCGCGCGCACCGGAGGUAACUCCCCCGGGGAUGGUAAAAACGCCUGGCUUAUAGGGCAAUCCGCAGCCAAGUCCCUAAAGGCCUUCGGGCCCAGGGGAAGGGGUUCACAGACUAGACGGUGAUGGGUCGCCGGGGGGGUCCUGAGGGGCCCCGCCGCGG
rnacentral:rRNA from 1 species